AGCGAACGCUGGCGGCAGGCUUAACACAUGCAAGUCGAACGGGCAUAGCAAUAUGUCAGUGGCAGACGGGUGUGUAACGCGUGGGAACGUACCUUUUGGUUCGGAACAACACAGGGAAACUUGUGCUAAUACCGGAUAAGCCCUUACGGGGAAAGAUUUAUCGCCGAAAGAUCGGCCCGCGUCUGAUUAGCUAGUUGGUAGGGUAAUGGCCUACCAAGGCGACGAUCAGUAGCUGGUCUGAGAGGAUGAUCAGCCACAUUGGGACUGAGACACGGCCCAAACUCCUACGGGAGGCAGCAGUGGGGAAUAUUGGACAAUGGGCGAAAGCCUGAUCCAGCCAUGCCGCGUGAGUGAUGAAGGCCCUAGGGUUGUAAAGCUCUUUUGUGCGGGAAGAUAAUGACGGUACCGCAAGAAUAAGCCCCGGCUAACUUCGUG
rnacentral:rRNA from 1 species